rnacentral:lncRNA from 1 species
AAACAAAAUGGCUUAACGCUCCGCUCGACCCCUCCCCCCUCCGCCCCCUGAGUGAGUUAAGUAAUUUAGAGACGGCCCCUUACAUAUAUUCUAAAUAAAUAUCGAAGGAGUCACGAGUACCUAACUAUAACUAUAUCCAAUUCAGAUAAUGUAUCAAAACAUUCCUGUAUACCGGCGCCACAGCCAUAAUUUGCCUGAUAUACCCAUGGUUCUAAACUCAACGCCGCAAUUUGUCUGGGUUCAAAUCUAAAAUGUUAAAUUACGUAUGCAUAAUUGAGCCUACCUCGCAAUCAGUCGAUGGUGCCAAACGUCUUUUGAUGUUAAAAAUCACCAGUAUAAGUUGAGAAUCAAAAGCAUAAUAAUCUUCUUUUUAUUUCAUUUCAAUUUAAUUAUCUAUCUAAUUAAUCAUGAAUUAUUAUCAAUUUAAUUAUCUACUUCAUUAAAAGUAAACAUUUAGAGAUGUACCAAAUGAGUAUAAAAACAUGGGGCUUAUGCCGAGAGAAAAAAAGCAACCUAAAGAACUGUAAGUUUAUUUUCUAGUUUAAGCGUGCAAUACUGUAAUUAUGACGAGUUGAUUCUUUCAUUACACUCUUAUUUGAUAACUAUAAAAUAGGAAGUCUAAGUAAUCCGGUCUCGCUGUGGUAUCAGUUCUCAUUGUGCGCUCUACUUGAAAUUACUUUCGGCUGUUUGCAUAGGUGUCCAUGAUGACCUUAACUACACAAAGGGGCCAACGCUACACAAAAAUUAGUUCACGUUUCGCGUUAACAGUCUCAUCAGAAAAAUGAUGAUUCCUUUCUAUUUGAUCGGCUCUUUCUUUUCCUUGGGGGCUAGUGGCUUUAAUUGAGAGGAGCAUGAUUGAGACAAGGAUUCUAGGCUCGAACAAAUAGAGAGACUUCUUUCUAAUUUCAGGAAUAUUUAGUGAAAAAUAGAGCACACAUCCUUGUAAGAAUGAACGUCAUUUUUUUUCGUCUCUCGAGCCUUGAACUUGGAUGGAAUCCGCGAAUUCGCCGCAGGUGGGUUUUUUCGCUGAACUUGAGCGGUGCCACCUGUAGGUCACCAGCUUUUCAACCAAAGCCGGGUCUCCAUUGCAGCGUUGGCCUCCGAAUUGACAAGAAUGGCUGUCAUCAGUCCGUCAUGACUUGGAUCAUCUCGAACCGACACUGUGGAAUGGAGUUCCGCACCGAUUUCACUGCCGCCAUAUUGCUCAAAUUACUAGAGAUUUAGGUAUUGUUCACAUACUUUUGAUUCAUUUAAUAUUAAUCUUAAAUGACUUGGUCGUAACAUGCUAAAAGAAACUUAAGACGUGUGGGAAAGAUGGGUGAGCUCGUGCAAGCUGCAUAAAAAACAGUGUAUAAAAGGGCGUGAUUCCUUUUGGGAAAAUGGAAAAGUGGGAUUUUUCAUUAAAUCAAAAGGAACUAAGCGUCAAAAUAUACUAACUCAUGAGCCGUGGGCAUGUGACAAGAGCGUUGUGGACGGAGCUCAUGAGUUACAAGCAAUACUCAGAUCCACGGAUGGUCGUCUGCGUCGUCUCCGCUGACGUCACUGGCGCUUUAUAAUUCCCAUUCAUUCUUACGGCCAUCAACUAAUGAGCACACUCUUUCUUUUCCACCCGUCCCUGGUUCCUUUUAGCAUAAAUACGUCCAUAAUAAUUCAAAUAAUGGCUAAAGUGCAAAACUACGAAAUCCCGUUGUGGUAUUUCGUAAUCUCUGGUCAUAUUUUAUUUUUUCGAAAGGAUUAAAAAAGUCAACUGUGUGGCUUUUGAAUUUUUCCAGAAUUUUCUGCUAACACACAGGAAAAAUCAAGGAAGUUUUCAAGAAAUUAAGUCGAUUAGUUUACCAAUGGAAAAAUAUAGAAUGACAGGAUCGUUGCGACGUCGUAAAUAGAGAUAGUUGAUUUCACACUUUGGCCAUCGAUAUUUCAAAGUUAGACAAAACUGCACACUGUUUUUCAUCUAAUGAAUUUUUCAAGUACACAGUUGAAAAUUUACUUUUACAGUUAAUUUUUUUUGGACGGAUCAACUGAGAGGACUUGAUCAAAAUUUUGGUUCAAUCGACUGGAACUGUAGGUUUUUCUGAGACAUCUGAGGAUGCAGAAUGGGUCCUGCUGAACUAAUGUACGCCUUAUUCUCUCAAUAUCACUCUGAGUUUACGUAGUAAUAAUUGAGAUGCGUCCUUAGGUUAGGUUAGGUUAGGUCGGCCGAUGCCAGGGCUCGACCUCCAGUCAGGAGUGAAUGCGGAACACUAGACUCUCCUCGCGUGCUAAUUAUUAUCAGGCGCCUGAGCGUAGAGUUAUUUUUAAUUUUAAUUAUUGGUGACAAGUUGGCUAUUUUUAAUU